GACGAACGCUGGCGGCGUGCUUAACACAUGCAAGUCGAACGGAAAGGCCCUGCUUUUGUGGGGUGCUCGAGUGGCGAAAGGGUGAGUAACACGUGAGUAACCUGCCCUUGACUUUGGGAUAACUUCAGGAAACUGGGGCUAAUACCGGAUAGGAGCUCCUGCUGCAUGGUGGGGGUUGGAAAGUUUCGGCGGUUGGGGAUGGACUCGCGGCUUAUCAGCUUGUUGGUGGGGUGGUGGCUUACCAAGGCUUUGACGGGUAGCCGGCCUGAGAGGGUGACCGGCCACAUUGGGACUGAGAUACGGCCCAGACUCCUACGGGAGGCAGCAGUGGGGAAUAUUGCACAAUGGGCGGAAGCCUGAUGCAGCAACGCCGCGUGCGGGAUGACGGCCUUCGGGUUGUAAACCGCUUUCGCCUGUGACGAAGCGUGAGUGACGGUAAUGGGUAAAGAAGCACCGGCUAACUACGUG
rnacentral:rRNA from 1 species